AAAUUGACGGGGGCCCGCACAAGCGGUGGAGCAUGUGGUUUAAUUCGAUGCAACGCGAAGAACCUUACCUGGGCUUGACAUCCCGAGAAUCCCCUGGAAACAGGGAGUGCCUUUCGGGGAACUCGGAGACAGGUGCUGCAUGGCUGUCGUCAGCUCGUGUCGUGAGAUGUUGGGUUAAGUCCCGCAACGAGCGCAACCCUUGUCUUUAAUUGCCAGCAUUCAGUUGGGCACUUUAAAGAGACUGCCGGUGUUAAGCCGGAGGAAGGUGGGAUGACGUCAAGUCCUCAUGGCCUUUAUGCCCAGGGCUACACACGUGCUACAAUGGGUGGUACAAAGAGAUGCCAACUCGCGAGAGCGCGCCAAUCUCAGAAAGCCAUCCUCAGUUCGGAUUGGAGUCUGCAACUCGACUCCAUGAAGUUGGAAUCGCUAGUAAUCGCGGAUCAGCACGCCGCGGUGAAUACGUUCCCGGGCCUU
rnacentral:rRNA from 1 species